GGGAUUCUUUACCCCUUUGCCUGCAUGCCUUCUAUGACAUUUAAUCUGACUAUCCCUUCAUAACAUCCCACUCUAUCAUGCCCUCCAGACAUGAUCCCAGAGAACGCUCUGGAGGAGAUAACCAAAAACAUGGAUACCAGUGCCGUUCUGGCUGAAAUCCCUGCAGGACCAGGAAGAGAACCAGUUCAGACUUUGUGAGUAACUGAGAGGGUCUGAAAGGGGCAGAUUGGUCACUACCACUCUUGAGGCUCUGUAAACUGUCCAUUCUCUGGGAAUGCUUGAAUUUGCUAUUUUGCUUGUUUCCUUCCUUCCAUCUCCUUUCUCUUUUCUUGUCCAGGUACUCUCAGUCACCAGCUCUGGAAUUAGAUAAAUUCCUUGAAGAUGUCAGGAAUGGGAUCUAUCCUCUGACAGCCUUUGGGUUGCCUCGGCCCCAGCAGCCACAGCAGGAGGAGGUGACAUCACCUGUUGUGCCCCCCUCUGUCAAGACUCCGACACCUGAACCAGCUGAGGUGGAGACUCGCAAGGUGGUGCUGAUGCAGUGCAACAUUGAGUCGGUGGAGGAGGGAGUCAAACACCACCUGACGCUUCUGCUGAAGUUGGAGGACAAACUGAACCGGCACCUGAGCUGUGACCUGAUGCCAAGUGAGUCUCUCCUUUCCCUCAGAGGAUGGAGAGUCUAUGAGCCUUAUCUUUUAGGGACAUAUUCAGGGGUGGGGGAGGUGACAAGGCAGUAACACAUUGACUCACAUAGAAUGACUAUCUUCGACCCUAAAGCAGUGGGUGGAUCUGACAGUUUAGCCCUGGUGGGG
rnacentral:sRNA from 1 species